UACGUAGGGUGCAAGCGUUAAUCGGAAUUACUGGGCGUAAAGCGUGCGCAGGCGGUUAUGUAAGACAGGUGUGAAAUCCCCGGGCUUAACCUGGGAACUGCAUUUGUGACUGCAUAGCUAGAGUACGGUAGAGGGGGAUGGAAUUCCGGCGUGUAGCAGUGAAAUGCGUAGAUAUGCGGAGGAACACCGAUGGCGAAGGCAAUCCCCUGGACCUGUACUGACGCUCAUGCACGAAAGCGUGGGGGAGCAAACAGG
rnacentral:rRNA from 1 species